rnacentral:tRNA from 1 species
GAGAAAAUAGUUAAAAAUAACAUUUAAUUUGCAAUUAAAAAGUAUUGAUUACUCAAUUUUUCUUA